GAUGAAGAACGCAGUGAAAUGCGAUAAGUAAUGCGAAUUGCAGAAUUCCGUGAGUCAUCGAAUCUUUGAACGCACAUUGCGCCCUUUGGCAUUCCGAAGGGCAUGCCUGUUCGAGCGUCAUUUAUCAACCCUCAAGCCCGGCUUGCGGUUGGGUCCCGCCGUGGGCGACCACGGCGGACCCGAAAGGUAAUGGCGGUGCCCGUGGGGCCCUGGACGCAGCGAGCUUCUCGGCACGCGUCCCGGCGGUCCCCGGCGCCGUCUCCACCAAUCCACCACGCAGAUUGACCUCGGAUCAGGUAGGGAUACCCGCUGAACUUAAGCAUAUCAAUAAGCGGAGA
rnacentral:misc_RNA from 1 species